AGCAAACAUGUAGCUCUGACAGACGAACAUUUGGAGAUCCAGAAGGACCACAGACAUGCACCGAUGCUUUAAUUGCAGAUUUGCGAGGAUCGGUCACAAAAAAGAAACGAACAAAAACUAGAAGAAUUCGUGUCCGUUCAUCAUCUUCCUGCAAAAAUGAAAGACAGCACAACACAUUAGGUAUUUCAACUUUAAUUUCCUAUUCUUUUUCUGAAUAACAUUAUGAUUGUUAUAGAGAAAGCAAUUCUACCAUGCAAUCUGACUUAUUACCUGAAUUGAUUGAUUUGAUGUUGCAUGUGUAGACAAAUGGAAAAACAUACGGACUGAGGACGAUUUAAUAGAGCUAUUUAGAUUCCUGAACAUCGAUGGAGAGAUGCAGAAUAUGCUUGUUCCUUAUAACCAAAAUGGCACCAUUGUUCCACACGAAGAAGAAGAAGAAGAAGAAGAAGAAGAAAAGAAAAAACGACCUAAAGUUGAUCUUGAUGGGGAGACUGAGAGAAUCUGGAACCUUUUACUUGUCGAUAUCAACAGUAGUGGGAUUGAUGGAAGUGAUCCCGAUACGGUCAAAUGGUGGAAAGAAGAACGAGAAGUGUUCCGUGGACGAGCAGACUCAUUCAUUGCAAGGAUGCAUCUGGUACAAGGUAUGAAUUAUACAUUUUCAUGAAAAUCUAAGCACUAUUCACACAACAGACAAAUAUCCCCUUUAUUUGUGCUUGAGGUGGAAAAAGUGAGAACACCAUAGACUAGGAAGAUAGCAACACACACACACAUAUAUAUGAACACACCAAGCACUAUACAGAAAACCAAGUAGGAUUCAAAGGAACUCUAAGAAAUUCAAAUGAGAACAGUAAUAAUAUUAAUAAAUAAUUUGGAUUUGUCAAGAUUAGCACUACUCACACAACUGACAAAUUUCUACAAUGAAGAAAAAAAGAGAUUAGCUUAUGUAGUUAAAAAACCAGAUUUUGAAAAGAUUAGCCAUGAAAAAGCUUCUAUAAAUUAGUGUGCGUAAAAAGCUUAUUUAUAAUUUCUUCUAAAAAUGUUUUAAACUAAGUUUAACCACAAAGAACAUUUAUAAAAAAAAGGCAAGUCAAAGUAGGACACUCAAUGAAGUACUAUUUCCUACAACACAGCGGACAAUUUUAAUCAAGUGCUAAAGCAAAAAUACAUCACACUAAAUAAAGAAAUUCUUUCCUCUGAAGUUGCAGUUAAUCGGCAAGUUAUCAAAAACAAAAUAUUCACAAGUAAACUCAUUCAUUCUGCAUAUUCAGUAACACAGUUCCAGGACUAAUAUUAUAACACAAACAACAGGAGACAGGCGCUUUUCGAUGUGGAAGGGAUCUGUUGUGGAUUCUGUUGUCGGAGUUUUCCUCACUCAAAAUGUUUCAGACCAUCUUUCCAGGUAUAAAUCAUGCAAGCUUAAUUACUGAGAAAUAUACAAUUAAAACAAACAACACGUUUAUUUUUCCCCUUGUUGGCAGUUCUGCAUUCAUGUCCCUCGCUGCUCGAUAUCCUCUGAAGUCAACCAGUACAUUCCAGAAGGAAAGCACAUGUUCGAUGGUCAAUGAACCACAAGUGUGCAUUGUGGAGGAGCCAGUAGAAAAUGGAAAUCGGGAUAGGAAAAUAUUGGAUCAAUCCAUUUGUGAAAUGAAUUCUAAGACAAUGGACAUCAUCGAAAAUUAUGAAGAAAGAGAAGGUGUAGACAGCAAUGUUUCCUGCAGAACUAAUGGCAGCGUAAUUUGUGUAGCAGAUGAAUCAAACAGCAACAUGUUGGAAUCGGAAUCGGCUCAAAGACGUGGCAGUGAACAUAGCCCAGUGGAAAGUGGAACAAUUAGUGGUAUGACUGAGGAAGGGCAAGAAAGUUUAUGUCAUGUGAGUGUUAGGAAAGAGUUAAAUAAUGUAUUUCCAUCCCAAUUAUCUGGUGCUACAUUUCAAACAUCAGGAGAUUUUUCAAUUGAUCAAAAUACUGAAAAGAUAGGAUCAUUCUCAGAUAGCAACUCAGAAAUAGAAGACCUGCCAAGCACAGCCCAGUUCAAUAUUUAUCAUAGCGGGACUUCAUUCAGAGAACUUUUAGAAAUGGCAAGUUCAACCAUGUUGCAUGAAGUUAAUAGUCAAAGAGACAAAUCAACUGAGAACUUUAGAGACGCAUGUGAUCAGUCCAUAGACUUGAACCAUGACAACCAAGUAGGAAACUUGGAAAAAUCAGAUGUUACUCUUACUCGAGACACUUUUGAAACACCCAUCACCAAGGAAUAUGCUUUGGAAGCAACCCCAAACUCGGGAGUGCUUGAAGUUAACUGCUAUGAUCCUCUAAAAAUAGAAGUCCCAUCAAGUGAUUCCUCAAAGAAUAAAGGUGAGAAUGAUAAGAGGCAUAGUUUUCGAACAGAUUCCAACUCCAAAGCUGCAUUUGUCAAUUCUCAUGGUAUGAUAUCUCAACUUCAUUCCUUGCAAGAAAUUAACCAUGAACAGCAUAAUGUUUUUAUCAUUUCAGGACAAACUCAGGAUCCCAUGCAGAAAGCAAGAGAUCAAAAAUUUGGUGAUCACAAGAAUGAAAAGAAGAAAAAAAACAGCAAAAAAAAUAGUAAGAAGGAACCUGCCCCAAAGAAAGCUGCCCCAAAAAAAGCUGCCCCAAAGAAAGCUGCCCCAAAAAAGGCUGCCCCAAAAAAAGCUGCCCCAAAAAAACUAAAAAGCGAGAAAGAGGAAAAUAACUUUGAUUGGGAUAGUUUAAGAAUACAAGCACAGGCUCGGGCAGGGAAGAGAGAAAAGACCGAAAACACCAUGGACUCUGCGGACUGGGAUGCUGUAAGACGUGCAGAUCUCAGUGAAAUUUCCAAAAUAAUCAGAGAAAGGGGCAUGAACAACCUGCUGGCUGAUCGUAUUAAGGUAGAAUCCAAGAUUGUGAAGUGCAUUUGUCAGCAUUUAUCAGAAAGAGAAAAACUUAAAAACAGAUUAUGUCAAAUGAAUUACUAUGCAGGGUUUCCUCAAUAGAAUGUUUGACAAGCACGGGAGCCUUGAUCUGGAGUGGCUGAGAGAUGUUCCACCUGACCAAGCAAAGUAAGUCUAGAUAUUAUCAAACUACUUUGAAAUCAUAUUUCCGUGUUGGUAGGGUUGGCAAAACCAACAUACGAGCCCCUCUAUUCACUAGCAACACAUGUCAUGCACACUCACAUGCAAGCACAAAAAAUGCAUAAUGUUAAUUCAAUUUAUACGUCCAGAGAAUUCUUGCUCAGCAUAAAGGGAUUGGGAUUGAAAAGUGUGGAGUGCGUUCGACUCUUAACACUACACCAUCUUGCUUUCCCGGUAAGUUGAGAACAUUAAUCCAAAAUUAGAGGAUUAAGAAAUAUAUUUUGACAGUUUGUUGCCUAAAUAGGUGGACACAAAUGUUGGACGCAUAGCAGUACGUUUGGGAUGGGUACCUCUCCGGCCACUGCCAGAGUCACUACAGUUGCAUCUUCUAGAACUGUGAGUUCCACAAUAAUAAAUAGCAAGAUGCAGUUAUUCAGUCAGUAAAAAAAAGAGCUAACCUGACAUCAUUGUCCUGUAUAGGUACCCAGUGUUGGAGUCUGUACAAAAAUAUCUCUGGCCUCGACUCUGCAAGCUAGACCAAAGAACAUUGUAAUGAUUAUUUUCAAUUGGAAGUUAUACAUUAAAUUAUAUAAGUAGCUUCUAGUUGCUGAUUUAAUUUUUGAACAAUGGCCAACAUAAACAUGUAUUUAGUAUCAUGAGAUCAUGCUUAGACGCAUCAUGUCAUACUCACCUAAUUAUCUUGCAUUUCAUAAUUAGAUGAUAGCGUUAAAAUGUUCUCCAUCAUAAUUAAACUCUCAUUGAUUUCUUUAAUGUUUUGUUGCUCUUUACUGAAGGUAUGAGCUGCAUUACCAGCUGAUUACAUUUGGAAAGGUAAACUACAUUUUCUCAUACAUUAGAGAGAUGAUCCUACUUAAGUGAAACCCUGUUAUGACUGGAAAGGAAACUAAAAUCAAUUCAUGCAGGUUUUCUGUACUAAAAAACAACCAAAUUGCAAUGCAUGCCCGAUGAGAGGGGAAUGCAAACACUUUGCAAGUGCCUUUGCAAGGUAUGAUAAAUUAAGAUUUCUUGCAGUUAUUCAUACAAAAGGGUGGACUAUUGUUAUGCACCACACCGUCACUCAGACACAGAAAAAUUGUGAAGCUAAAAGACAACAUUACGUAGUUCAUAAAUCCAGUAUUAUCAUGCUCAAUGCCUCACUGUAUAGACCACACUUAGUAUAUUUUAUCUAUAAAAUGAAGAAAAAAAAAUUGUUGUCAGUACCACUUUCAAGAUUAAAUGCAUGCAUCGCAUGAUAUGAAUUAUGAUAAACUAACUUACAAGUAAACAAUGUUAAAUAUUGCAGUGCAAGACUUGCCCUGCCAGGACCAGAGGAGAAGAGAAUAGUAAUCCCGUCCGGAAACAAUGCAAACGAGCAGAACCCACCACUAGUUAUCAAUCAACCGCUCUUGUUUCUCCCUGGGAACACUAUUCAAGACGAACUUCAACAAACAAAAGUGAUCACACAACCUAUUGUAGAAAUGCCAGCAUCUCCAGAGCCCGAAUGCUCCCAACCGUCAGAAAUUAUGGAUAUAGAGGACGCCUUCAAUGAGGAAUCAUGUGAAAUUCCAACCAUAAAACUAGACAUAGAAGAGUUCACUUUGAACUUGCAAAACUAUAUGGAACAAAGCAUGGAACUUCAAGAAGGAGAAAUGUCAAAGGCCUUGGUUGCUUUACAUCCAGAUGCUGCACGCAUUCCUACACCCAAGCUGAAGUAUAAGAGCAACUUGAGAACAGAGCAUUACGUGUAAGUGGGAAAACUAAUUCAUCGCACACUAUUUAAUUGGAAUUCACAAUUUUAAUACAGGAAAACAGGCUAACUAAUGAGAUGAGGAGCAAGUAAUUUAACAAGCAAAACAUGUUGUACAAUUUCAAUUUAUCAAGAAAUAUGCAGAGAUUAAUAGUUAACCACAAAGUAACAAGAAUCUCCUAUUCAAUACACUCCAGUGUUUGGCAGAGUUCUGAUGAAGCAUCGUAUCAAUCAUACUAUAUUAGUGAAAAAUUCUUGUAAAUUAUUCUGAUAUUGUGUUCGCUUUCUUGCAGUUAUGAACUCCCUGAUUCACAUCCUCUUCUGAAUGGGGUUAGUUAUUUCUACAUCCACUAAACAUAAUUGUGUUUCAUUAUACGUGCCCAUUUUGUUAAUUAGUUAUUAACUACAGUGGGAACAGCGAGAACCAGAUGAUCCAGGGAAAUAUCUUCUAGCUAUAUGGACCCCAGGUGAACAAAAAUAACUUGACACCAUGUUUUUUUUCUAAAUUAGUUUGGACUAGCUGUAGUUUUUGUUACCAUUUACAGCAGUACAAAUAUAUGAUUAUUUUGGUUUGUGGUCCUUUUCAUGUUGCCAAACACAUUGUGUACAACAGGGGAGACAGCAGAUUCCAUACAACCACCAGAAAGAAAAUGCAGCUCUCAGGACUGUGGACAGCUUUGUAAAGAAAAUGAAUGUUUUGCAUGCAACAGUGUCCGUGAAGCAAAUUCACAAAUAGUUCGAGGAACACUCCUGGUCUGAAUGCUUAACCAUUCAUUGUUUAUUAUUCUUAGCACUAAUAACAUCAUGCUGGAGAAACAAAUAACUGGGUAGAGAAGCAAUUUGCAUAUGAAUGCAAAUAUUAUAAUAGGCUAACUAUAAAUAAUUUCUGAAUAGAUACCAUGCCGAACAGCUAUGGGAGGGACCUUUCCGCUAAAUGGGACCUAUUUUCAAGUCAAUGAGGUAAAAAAAGUGUUGUGGCUUAUUAGAAAUUUAUUUCGCUAAUGUGUUGCUAAAUUAAGUACUAAAAUAUAAUUUGAUGCAGGUUUUCGCUGAUAAUGACUCAAGUAUAAACCCAAUUAGUGUUCCCCGAAGUUGGAUCUGGAACCUUCGUAGGAGAACAGUGUAUUUUGGAACCUCCGUAACACACAUAUUUAGAGGUAUCUACUUAAAAAAUAUGUUACUAAAAUAGAUAGAUAUCAAACUAUUAUACUACUGAAUGCGUAUUCUUUUGUCAACCAGACCUAUCAACACAAGAAAUUCAACAAUGCUUCUGGAGAGGUAAGAUUUAUCUCACAGAAUGUAAUCCUACUUAUUGGUAUUCGAUAUCCCAGUUCAACUGGUUCUUUCUUUUAUAAUAAGCUCCAUUAGAUCACAGUCUUUGUAGAAACACUAAGUGAGCAAUAUUACGCACUUGUAUGACUUUAUAAGAAAAUAUUACUCAUUUGUAUGACUUUAUCUACUCAUCAUAUGAUGGAUGUCACAAUCAUGACUCAUCCAUAGAAGGACAAUGGAAUAUGUAGGAAUUUCAGUGUAUGUGACAUCCAAUUUUACAAAUCCUACUGAAGUUUGAAUUGAAAGCACAUUAAUUUAUUUUUUUUACAAACAAGGCCGGAGACAUCAUCAUUCCAACAAAUUAGAAGCAUGACUUACUUCACGAGUGAUUAGAAAUAUAGUUUAUUUAUUAUAUAUAGUAUAAUAGACGUUUAAUGAUAAGUCAUUUGACAACCUAUAACCCAGACAAAUGUAUGUUGUACACAUGUACUUACUAGUAAAGCCACCCAUGUAGCUUACUUCCGGCGGCACACCCCUUAUCCAGGAGUCAUAACAAACUGAAAGUCCGAAGUCAUGAUUGAUAGCAACUCCCUUUGGUAGCAAUUCCCUUUUGCCUAAGAACUCUGACCGAUGUCUUUUUUUCAAUAAUCUAGCAAGCAACCAUAUUUAUCACCAUCAUAUAUUAUAAUACACGUUUAAUGAUAAGUCAUUUGACAACCUAUGACCCAGACAAAUGUAUGUGGUACACAUGUACUUACUAGUAAAUACUUCCGGCGGCACACCCCUUAUCCAGGAGUCAUAACAAACUGAAAGUAUGAAGUCAUGGUUGACAGCAACGCCCCUUGGUAACAAUUCCCUUUUGCCUAAGAACUCUGACCGAUGUCUUCUUUUUUCAAUAAUCUAGCAAGCAACCAUAUUUAUCACCAUCGUAUAUUAUAAUAGACGUUUAAUGAUAAGUCAUUUGACAACCUAUGACCCAGACAAAUGUAUGUGGUACGCAUGUACUUACUAGUAAAAGCACCCAUAUAGCUUACUUCCGGCGGCACACCCCUUAUCCAGGAGUCAUAACAAACUGAAAGUUUGAAGUCAUGGUUGACAGCAACUCCCCUUGGUAGGAAUUCCCCUUAGCCUGAGAACUCUGACCGAUGUCUUUUUUCUCAAUAAUCUAGCAAGCAAACAUGUUUAUCACAAUCAGUAUAGACAUUUCUUACAAGUGACACUAUAUGCUCUUCGCAUAUUGGAAAAUUUAAACACACAUUUCAAUUCUCGCAAUAUUAUAUAUAUCCAGUGUUUUUUACAUACCAAAUUAUGUAUCUGACUGCCUGUGUUUCCUUUCUUCCUUUUUGUAUGGAGCAAUGUAUGAUACACACCAAAAAACCUCUAAACUCACUACUCAAAUUUGCUAAACGAAUUAUUAUUUCUAGCUUUUAUUUUAGCUAUAAGUUAUUUCUAGAAGACUGAUUUAAAAGGCAGAUUUUUUCCUAAUACGAGGACUGCAAACGUUAACCUACAAGAUAGGCAAGUGAGUAUAUAACCUGACAUAUUUAAAAGGGCAAUUUAAAUGUUUUGCAGGAUAUGUUUGCGUGCGAGGAUUUGACAGGGAAAGAAGAGCGCCUCGGCCUCUGUUGGCUAGAUUGCACAUCCCAAUUAGCAAGAAGCCUAAGGAUCCUAAUGCUCCUAGGAAGCCUAGGAAGCCUAAGGAUCCUAAUGCUCCUAGGAAGCCUAGGAAGCCUAAGAAUCCAAAGAAUAAGGACAACACCCAAAAGAAGUCCAAGCCGGCAACACAAUCUAAAAAGAAACAAAAACAGCCAUAAUUGUUUUCCGGCAUUCAGGAGGGCGGUGAAGCCUGGAGACCGACAAAUGUUAUUCAAUAUUCAUCAUGUAUCCUGUGUAUUAUAGCAGAGCCAUGGUCAUGCUAAAAUACUUGACAAUUCUCAGAUUAGGACUAGGACCAAGACAGUAUAAUGGUUUCAAAUUUGCUUUUCAGCUCCGUGAAGAUCGAAGAUGUGUGUGAGGCAGGUGAAAUGAGGCUACUUACGCGAGAACAAAGCACAGUUGCACUCAUCAACAUUCUUCUACAUUUGAAUUUGUAUGACUUUAAAUUAACUAGUUCGUGUUGUAGUAUUUAUCAGAUUUAAAACUUCGAAUUUCAUUUCUUAGUUGCAUAAAUGUGUCAUGUUUUACAAUUCUUCAAUUUUCUAGAUCUGUUAACAACAAACUAAUAUCUUCAAGUUCAAAAUCAAAAAAAGAAUCGUACGAUCCCAUGAAUUGCGACGAAGGCAUCAUCAUGAAACCAAACCGACCCUGCCGUAACAUUUAUAAAAUCGAAGCUUUGGAACGACAAUAGAAAAAAGCGAAAGUAUAUAAAGAGCUUUCAGAUGAAGAAGAAUACCUCUUAGGUCUUCGUCCUCAGAAGCAGAAACUGGAAGAGUGACAUGCUUAGAGAGUGAGAGGAGCAAGGUAAAUAGAUACUUGCAGGGUGAGAAGAUGAAGGGAGGUGAAGAGGUAUUUAUAGAACCCUUUUUUUGCCGCCUUACCCAUUCUUAUUUUUAUUCCCUCCCUUUUUUACUUCUAACUUUGUUUGCCGCCUAGCAAAG
rnacentral:lncRNA from 1 species